rnacentral:rRNA from 2 species
CUAAACAUGCAAGUCGAACGAACUCUGGUAUUGAUUGGUGCUUGCAUCAUGAUUUACAUUUGAGUGAGUGGCGAACUGGUGAGUAACACGUGGGAAACCUGCCCAGAAGCGGGGGAUAACACCUGGAAACAGAUGCUAAUACCGCAUAACAACUUGGACCGCAUGGUCCGAGUUUGAAAGAUGGCUUCGGCUAUCACUUUUGGAUGGUCCCGCGGCGUAUUAGCUAGAUGGUGGGGUAACGGCUCACCAUGGCAAUGAUACGUAGCCGACCUGAGAGGGUAAUCGGCCACAUUGGGACUGAGACACGGCCCAAACUCCUACGGGAGGCAGCAGUAGGGAAUCUUCCACAAUGGACGAAAGUCUGAUGGAGCAACGCCGCGUGAGUGAAGAAGGGUUUCGGCUCGUAAAACUCUGUUGUUAAAGAAGAACAUAUCUGAGAGUAACUGUUCAGGUAUUGACGGUAUUUAACCAGAAAGCCACGGCUAACUACGUGCCAGCAGCCGCGGUAAUACGUAGGUGGCAAGCGUUGUCCGGAUUUAUUGGGCGUAAAGCGAGCGCAGGCGGUUUUUUAAGUCUGAUGUGAAAGCCUUCGGCUCAACCGAAGAAGUGCAUCGGAAACUGGGAAACUUGAGUGCAGAAGAGGACAGUGGAACUCCAUGUGUAGCGGUGAAAUGCGUAGAUAUAUGGAAGAACACCAGUGGCGAAGGCGGCUGUCUGGUCUGUAACUGACGCUGAGCUCGAAAGUAUGGGUAGCAAACAGGAUUAAUAUACCCUGGUAGUCCAAUACCGUAAACGAUGAAUGCUAAGUGUUGUAGGGUUUCCGCCCUUUCAUCAGCUGCAGCUAACGCAUUAAGCAUUCCGCCUGGGGAGUACGGCCGCAAUGACUGAAACUCAACGGAAUUGACGGGGGCCCACAAAAGCGGGGAGCAUGUGGUUUAAUUUGAUAGCUACGCGAGGAGAC